UACGUAGGGUGCAAGCGUUGUCCGGAAUUUAUUGGGCGUAAAGAGCUCGUAGGCGGUCUGUCGCGUCGGCUGUGAAAUCCCGGAGCUCAACUCCGGGUCUGCAGUCGAUACGGGGCAAACUGGAGUACUGCAGGGGAGACUGGAAUUCCUGGUGUAGCGGUGAAAUGCGCGAUAUCAGGAGGAACACCGGUGGCGAAGGCGGGUCUCUGGGCAGUAAC
rnacentral:rRNA from 1 species